rnacentral:rRNA from 1 species
GUCGAGGAUCUUCGGCAAUGGGCGCAAGCCUGACCGAGCGACGCCGCGUGUGCGAUGAAGGCCUUCGGGUUGUAAAGCACUGUCGAGGGGGAGGAAAGCCCGCAAGGGUCUGACCUAUCCCUGGAGGAAGCACGGGCUAAGUUCGUGCCAGCAGCCGCGGUAAGACGAACCGUGCAAACGUUGUUCGGAUUCACUGGGCUUAAAGGGCGCGUAGGCGGUCGUUCAAGUCGGGGGUGAAAUCCUCUCGCUCAACGAGAGAACAGCUUCCGAUACUGGACGUCUUGAGGGAGGUAGGGGCAACUGGAACUUCCGGUGGAGCGGUGAAAUGCGUAGAUAUCGGAAGGAACGCCGGUGGCGAAAGCGAGUUGCUGGACCUCUUCUGACGCUGAGGCGCGAAAGCCAGGGGAGCAAACGGGAUUAGAAACCCCAGUAGUCC